rnacentral:rRNA from 1 species
AACGUAGGAGGCGAGCGUUGUCCGGAUUUACUGGGCGUAAAGAGCGCGUAGGCGGCUUCACAAGUCAGGUGUGAAAUCUCCCGGCUUAACUGGGAGGGGUCAUUUGAAACUGUGGGGCUAGAGUGCAGUAGAGGGAGACAGAAUUCCCGGUGUAGUGGUGAAAUGCGUAGAUAUCGGGAGGAAUACCAGUGGCGAAGGCGGUCUCCUGGGCUGUUACUGACGCUGAGGUGCGAAAGCGUGGGGAG